rnacentral:rRNA from 1 species
GAUGAACGCUGGCGGCGUGCCUAAUACAUGCAAGUCGAGCGAACGGACGAGAAGCUUGCUUUUCUGAUGUUAGCGGCGGACGGGUGAGUAACACGUGGAUAACCUACCUAUAAGACUGGGAUAACUUCGGGAAACCGGAGCUAAUACCGGAUAAUAUUUUGAACCGCAUGGUUCAAAAGUGAAAGACGGUCUUGCUGUCACUUAUAGAUGGAUCCGCGCUGCAUUAGCUAGUUGGUAAGGUAACGGCUUACCAAGGCAACGAUGCAUAGCCGACCGGGGAGGCGGAUCGGCCACACUGGAGCUGAGCCACGCUCCAGACGCCUGCGGGAGGGAGCAGAAGGGAAUCGGCCGCAACGGGCGAAAGCCUUACGGAGCAACGCGGCGUGAGUGGUGGAGGUCUUCGGUUCGUAAAACUCGGUUAUUGGUGAAGAACAUAUGUGUAAGGAGCUGUGCACAACGUGACGGUACCUAAUCAAAAAGCCACGGCUAACUACGUG